UCUUCCGCAAUGGACGAAAGUCUGACGGAGCAACGCCGCGUGAGUGAUGAAGGGUUUCGGAUCGUAAAGCUCUGUUGUUAGGGAAGAAANAGUGCCGUUCAAAUAGGGCGGCACCUUGACGGUACCUAACCAGAAAGCCACGGCUACAUACGUGACAGCAGCCGCGGUAAUACGUAGGUGGCAAACGUUGUCCGGAAUUAUUGGGCGUAAAGGGCUCGCAGGCGGUUUCUUAAGUCUGAUGUGAGAGCCCCCGGCUCAACCGGGGAGGGUCAUUGGAAACUGGGGAACUUGAGUGCAGAAGAGGAGAGUGGAAUUCCACGUGUAGCGGUGAAAUGCGUAGAGAUGUGGAGGAACACCAGUGGCGAAGGCGACUCUCUGGUCUGUAACUGACGCUGAGGAGCGAAAGCGUGGGGAGCGAACAG
rnacentral:rRNA from 1 species